AAGAAAAAGGAAGAAAUGAAAUUAAAAAAAAAAAAAAAGGAGAUGUAAGUGUGCUGGGCUGGAGAAAACUGUACGGGAGAGAAAGAGAGAGAGUUCAAGAAGAAAGGAAGAAGAAGAGAAGAAGGGGGUUUUGAAGAACACUAAGAUUCAAGUUAAAAAUUGUGAAAAAAUCAUCUUAAGGUCAUGCGCUACGGUCCGUUUGAUCUGUCUCUGGAGCUAUGUGUGAGCAAGUGUGUGACCAGGCUUAGAGGGGUUUGCCUGGAAUCUAUUCUUGUCAACCAACCUAUAUGCCUCCCGUGGAGGUUUCGGAUAUGCCAAGUGGUCAAGACUGUGAUUAAAAUUUAAGUUUUUGUUUAUUCUGUAUAUAUGAUGACGCAUGAAUGAUGUGAUAAUAUAUGUAUAUAAAAAUUUUAAAUAUUUUUUGUCUCAUGUGAGUCUCCACAGCUCAAUGGACGAUAUAUGUUUGUAUUUUGCUUCCGCUAGCCUCUAAUAUUAUGUAUCUGUUUAAGAGGCCUUUGGUAAUAUUGGGAUUACUGGCCGGUCACGAUGCUAAACCUAUAGGGGUGGGUUUGGGUAAUGACAGAGUAAUAUUAGAGCACGAGUUAAUAUCUCAUACACUGAAUGUCUAGCAUGUAUUUAAGUUACAUGCAUCUAGUAAGUGAUAUGUUAUGCAUUCAGAAAAUAUAUAUGUAUUUGUUUAAUAGGCUAAAUAUGAGAUUAAGAAUUAAUAAGUGUUGUUAUUAUGGAACUUUGAUGUUAUGGUAAAAAAAAAAAAAAAAUCAGAAUCUUGACUAGAAUAUUGGUAAGUACAAGUAUAUUGAUUUGUGGGAUUAUGGAAUCACACGUAAUUAGAAUCUUUGAUGGGAGCCACGAAAGUUAUAUGGUUUAUACAUGAAAUCAGAUUAUGGGAAUAGUUGGGAAACUGAGAUAAUUAAUGAUUAGUGAAGUGUGUGGAACUAUUGUGAUUGUAUCUAUUUAAGAGGCCUUCGGUAAUCUUAGGUUUACUGGUCGGUCAUGAUGCUAAACCUAUGGGAGCGGGUUUGGGUUUUGACAUAGACCGUUCAUAGGGGUGGAUGGUUGUCACUUGAAGGAUCCUUAUGGUGGAGUGCUAAUUUCAGCAGUUGCUCUAGAUGAGAAUAAUGGGUUGUUUUCACUAGCAUUAGGAGUAGUGAAGUAUGAAUGUAAGGAGAGUUGGACAUUUGUCUGAGAACAUUUAAGAACAAUACUUAGUGAUGCAUCGUCCACUAGGCUUUGGAUCAUCAUGUCUGAUGGACAAAAAGGUCUUGACAAAAUUGUUAGUGAAAUUCUACCAGAGGUUAGAUAUAGAAUAUGUUGUAUGUAUUUGUUUAACAACAACUUUAGGGCUAAAUUUCCUAGAGUGAUCUUGAGGAAGAAAUUUACAAUUCUAACAAUGUUAGAGAGCAUAAGAUGUAACUUAUUGGGCAAGUUUCAAAUAAGGUAUCAAAAAGCAUUGCAAUGGCAGUCCAAUGUAACUUUGAACAUUAAAAAAAGGCUUGAUAAGAACUUAUAUGAGUCAAGAAAGUGCAAAGUAGAGUAUGCAGCAGAUCAUGAGUAUGAGAUUAGGGACAACGAGGAGUAAGACACAUUGUGCAUCUAGGUAGGAUGAGCUGUGUAUGUAGAGAGUGGGAGAUCUUUAGGAUUCCAUCCAUACAUGCUAUGGUUGCUAUCUCGCAUAGCAGAAUGAAUGUGGAAGAUUUUGUUCGCCUCUAUUUCUCAAAGCAAAACUAUUUGAUGACCAAUGGUGGGAUUAUAUAUCUAAUAUUAGGCCAAACUACGUGGACACUGAUAGAUGAUGAGCCUUUAUAGCCACUACCUCUCAAAAGAUUAGUAGGAAUGAGCCUCUAGCAGACACAAGUCAGGCCAAGUGGUCUCAUACUUUGAAAUGCAGUUGGUGCAAGGAAUUUGGGCACAAUAAGAGGACAUGUCAAAUUGGUCCAGUCAAGGAUGGAACAAGUACUAGAGGCAUGGGUUCUUCAUCUGCGAGAGGAGGCACUUCAUCUGGGAGAGGUAGAGGUAGAGGUAGAACUUCAUCUAGAAAGGAUACUUCAUCUAGAAGAGGCAUUUUAGCUGAGAUAGGUACUUCAUCUGGUAAAGGCAACUCUGGCAAGGGCAGGGUAGGGGUAGGAGCAAGAAUACACAUCUAAGCAUCUUUAGUUUUCUUUGCCUAUGCAUUUUUAUUUAUGACUUGUGUAUUUAUGUACUAAUUUUGGUUUGGAAUUUAUGCACUACCUUUGGUUUGCAACUCAAGAGAUUCCAAGAAUGAGCCCUUCAAUGCCUACUCAGUGUGUGACAUAAGUCACAAGAACGUAAAGUUAGUUUGGAUUUUGUUCACUUCAUAUUUUAUUUAGAUGGUACAGAACAGAUCGUGCAUAGUGCUUAACUGAACUAUAGGAUGAUGCACCCACUUUUGUUUUUUGUUGUGGCGAUCUUGAUCAUACUUUUGUGUAUGAAGAUAUAGAGACAUGGGCACUGUUUUGUUUAAUUGUGAGGCAUUGAUUACUUCUUUUUUUGGGAUGCAACUAUGAAGCAUUUAUACAAAUUUUGGGGGGAUGUAACUAUGAAGUAACUAUGAACUAACUAUGAAGUAUUGAUCUUUGAACUUGUUUAUGUAUGUAUGAAGCACACAUAUUUGGGACUCAUAUUUUGGGAUUUGUCAUGCUUUCAUUCCACAAAAACUAGCACAAACUUGUUGUCUUAAACU